rnacentral:rRNA from 1 species
AGCCACAGCCACAUCACCCUGCAGCCCAAGACCGGUUACUCACUGAAGCUAAGCAGGGCUGAGCCUGGUCAGUACCUGGAUGGGAGACCACUAGGGAACACUAGGUUGCUGUUGGAA